rnacentral:rRNA from 1 species
UACGUAGGUGGCAAGCGUUGUCCGGAAUUAUUGGGCGUAAAGCGCGCGCAGGCGGCCUUUUAAGUCUGAUGUGAAAGCCCACGGCUCAACCGUGGAAGGUCUUUGGAAACUGAAAGGCUUGAGUACAGAAGAGGAAAGCGGAAUUCCACGUGUAGCGGUGAAAUGCGUAGAGAUGUGGAGGAACACCAGUGGCGAAGGCGGCUUUCUGGUCUGUAACUGACGCUGAGGCGCGAAAGCGUGGGGAGCAAACAGG